UCUUUACUUUGGUUUUACAUGUUGUAAUCUUUUACUGCAUCCCACUCAAUGCUAUAAAGGGACCUUUUUUCAUCCUUGUUAGGCUUAUUCAUGAUUCUCACAGCAGCUCUUCUACUUGCAGGAAAACAGUGGGAAAGAUGUGAAAAAAAUAUACAGGUGGAAGUACGGGAGUGAGGUAACUGAAGUGUGGUAGAUUCUACAGCUAACCAUCAGUAAAGGAAGUGCACAUGUGCUGUAAGGGAUAUUGCUUAAGUUAAUGAGCAAGAAGGAUAACAAGAAAGCAUUGAAAUGCUAACAGAAAAUUCUAUUUUCAGGUGUACAGCUUGGAAGAAGCAAUAUUAUGACUUCCUUAGAGAACUACUGGGCCAAAGAGAGAGACCAAAAUUUCUCAGUUCUGGUUAGCUGUAAUUGCAUAGCCUAAAGUUUUAUUUUCCUUUCUUAUUUCUGGUGCUAAUAGAUUAUCAAAACUGCAAGGAAUGAAAACAUGAAAUCUAUGCCCAUUUAAUACGCUCCAAACUUUUUUUCCAUUAAAAGCAUUUCAACUUAGCUCUAAUAUUUGGCUAGUUAAUAUUUCAGAUAGUUCAAGGUUCCUUUUUAUCUUUUUUUUGAAAACUUCAAAAAAUAAGUUUUCAUGAAGUUUUAAAAAAAAUAUGUCACUGAGAUAUUGGCUUCUAGUGACAAACUUCUGAGACAUCUGAAUGAGCUGACAGAUAACAAUAAACAGCUUGCACCGUUCUGGAAGUACUGAAGGCCAGGUGACUAAUUCAAUGUCUGCUGCACCACUAUGCAAUGCUGAUUUAAUUGAUCGUUCAAAUCAUUUUCUUCGCACAUGAUAGUUCACCAGCUUUUCAGGAAGCAUCCAGGAAUCUUCAUGUAGCUGUGAGUUUAUCAGGAUUUUUUGGCCACAUGAGAAAGGAGAGAAAAUAAUUUUCUAUGAAACUUCUUAACACAACACCUCCAAGCAACAGUUCCUGGAGGGUCACAGGAUGGCUAGAUACAGACAUCAUCUGCAUUUCCUCAGCACAUGCAUUAAGAGCAGCAGAAGUGAUUCAGCAAGAGAGUUUACUGUCACAGAGUAUGCUCAGCUUGGAGAAAUUUGAACAAGGUGCUUCCCAAGUGUGAAUCCUUGUAACAUCACUCGUUGAUCAAAGGAAUUUUGGAGCUUGCUUCUGGCCGGCAUCUUUUGCGGAGUUACUUGCAUGGAACAUAUGGAGACUGUUUCUAAUUACAGAAAGGAUUCCUCCCUACAAGUCUUGACAGUCGUUGCUGGCAUUUCUUACUGAGUUUCAGUACUGCUUUUUUCCUAGCCAAAUAUCAGUUUCUGUCUCUGAAUAUUCUCCAGCUCUGCAUUGGCUUCCCUGACAUUGUGCUUUUUCCAACAUUCAAAUUAUUACACUGGGAAGGGUAAUGUGUAUGGCUGAAUGGAGGCAUGAUAUUUGAAUGAUUUCAAAAGUAUAGCAAGGCUCUUCCAACUCGAUUACUAUAUUUCUUAGUGGAUUGGAUGACUUGUAAAAAAAUGUCUUUGGAGACCUUUCCGUGUCCCCUGUUUUCUGCUUCUCCUCUGGAAGGCAUUAAGCAUAUAGACUGGUAUCCUAAUUCUACACAAACAGCUUAGAUGUGAUGUGCUCUCCUUUGAAAGAAUUUGUGCAUAGUGAAUGAAACUUAACACUCUGAAAUGAAAAUUAAACUUAGUUGUCUAAGGUUCUUAAAAUAUCAGGUUUUAUCUGUUUAAAACAUAAGCUUUAGCUGUUAAGAAAAUGUUACUUUAUAAGCCCUGAACCAUGAUUAUAAUAAAAACUGUUACCGAACUUUUGAACGUUGACAUGUUUUCAAGAAAGUAAGAUAUGGUACACCUUCAAGCAUUAUCCCUGUCAUCUUAUCGAAAAAACAUGUUGUAUGAGAUCACUUACCCAUACCUCCAAUUGAGAGAUGUUGCUUUACAGUUUUCUGAUGUAUUAAUACGGGAUUUCAAGAAUAUACUGGUGUGUUAUUACACUCAUUUGCAAUCUUUUGUUGUUCCUUCUAGGUGUGCUGAUUUUAAGGGAAGAAAAUAAGUUAAAAUCGUGGUCUGAGAAAAAAGGAGAGAGGCGCAAGGGGAUGAAAAGGGGGUGAUGCCUUAUGUUUAAUGGUCAAACUGAGAAUUAGGUAGCUUCUCAGAACAAGAAUAUCAUCUAAUACUCAUUUGCUUUUUACAGAAAUCUGAGCUGGAACAGGUUUUAAAGUAGUAUUAUUGGUACUGCAAAACUCACUGCAGAAGAGAAGUAUUGACAAACUACAGCUUUGAGCAUUUGCCAUAAUGCAACAGAGAUAGAUCAUUUAGGUGGUUUUGGUUUUGUUUUUUAAUUAUUAUUAGCUUUUCUUUCCACCUUCUUUAGAAGACCCUUUUUUUUUUUUUUUUUUUUUUUUGGUUUUUGCUGUAAUUGCUUUAGGAUUUUGACCUACUGCAAUGAUCUCAAAAGAGAAGCACAACAGUCAGCUGGGAAUGGUUACCCUGAUUUGAUCUGUAGCUUUUCCUCUGACUUAAUCUUCUGUUGUGUAUAGACCAUAGGCUUCAUUAUUAAUAAUCUAGUACAGUAUUAAUAAUACAGUACUUGUAUGUUCCACUGUGUCACAGCUGGCAACAGGAAAUUAUUCUCUCACCUAUUGUUAAUGUAUUUAGAAGGGAAAUAUUUUCUGUUAUCCAUUAAUAUUUUCAAGUUUCACUCAAAUCUGCAUCAACUUGCAUCAAAUAUUUAUCAAUUUGCAGGCAUAGAUCCCCAAAAUAUUUAUCUCACCACAGAACAAGCUAUGUGCUGACACAGAGGUGUAUUUGCUAUUUUUUCUAAAGAUAAGCUGCAAGAGUGUUCUCCUAAUGGGUGCCAAACUUAUGUGGUUUACCAGUUUGAUACACAUGCUGCAAAUAGUAUCCAGCAGCUGUCUAUACUUUAAAAAAUGGGCUUUUUUAUAUUUGCCACAUUUAAAAAGGAUUUUUUGUAAUCCUCCAUAAACAGGAAUAUCAUUUAUAUAGUACAAGCAGUUUUUGUUAGAUUACAAAAGCAAGAAAUGAAGAAUUGUGCUGUGGGUUUAUUUUUUACAUUUUACCUUGGUAUACAGGAACAAACAGUGUCAUUUUUAACUGCUUUUCUUGUCUCUUGUCAGUUUAACUCAGACCUCUAAUCUUAUUGAAACGUCUGCUUUGUGCUUCCUCCAUUUCUGAUCUGUAAUAAAAUUGAUAGGUA